AACCAUCUAAAAACCUCCCCUAGAAAUUUACUAAAAAUCACAUAAAAAAUAGGUAAGAAAUACCUUAGAUAAAAAAAUCCUUACAUUUUCUCCAAAUUAAGAUGUGGAGCCUUCAAUUCUAACCUAUUUGAGUGUUCUCAGCCCAUCAAUUCUAUCUCAAAACCCUUCAUUUGAAAAUCUCUAAUUUUUAGCCCUAAUUUUUCAAAACUAGGAAUUUCUCAGUUUUACUAUAAUUCAAC
rnacentral:lncRNA from 1 species